rnacentral:rRNA from 1 species
GAUGAACGCUGGCGGCGUGCCUAAUACAUGCCAGUCGAGCGAACAGAUAAGGAGCUUGCUCCUUUGACGUUAGCGGCGGACGGGUGAGUAACACGUGGGUAACCUACCUAUAAGACUGGGAUAACUUCGGGAAACCGGAGCUAAUACCGGAUAACAUUUGGAACCGCAUGGUUCUAAAGUGAAAGAUGGUUUUGCUAUCACUUAUAGAUGGACCCGCGCCGUAUUAGCUAGUUGGUAAGGUAACGGCUUACCAAGGCAACGAUACGUAGCCGACCUGAGAGGGUGAUCGGCCACACUGGAACUGAGACACGGUCCAGACUCCUACGGGAGGCAGCAGUAGGGAAUCUUCCGCAAUGGGCGAAAGCCUGACGGAGCAACGCCGCGUGAGUGAUGAAGGGUUUCGGCUCGUAAAACUCUGUUAUUAGGGAAGAACAAACGUGUAAGUAACUGUGCACGUCUUGACGGUACCUAAUCAGAAAGCCACGGCUAACUACGU